rnacentral:rRNA from 1 species
GAAAGCAGGUCAUAGUGAUCCGGUGGUUCUGAAUGGAAGGGCCAUCGCUCAACGGAUAAAAGGUACUCCGGGGAUAACAGGCUGAUACCGCCCAAGAGUUCAUAUCGACGGCGGUGUUUGGCACCUCGAUGUCGGCUCAUCACAUCCUGGGGCUGAAGUAGGUCCCAAGGGUAUGGCUGUUCGCCAUUUAAAGUGGUACGCGAGCUGGGUUUAGAACGUCGUGAGACAGUUCGGUCCCUA